rnacentral:rRNA from 1 species
GAUGAACGCUGACAGAAUGCUUAACACAUGCAAGUCGAUGGGGAAGUGGUGCUUGCACCAUGGCAACCAUGGCGGACGGGUGAGUAACGCGUAAGGGACUUACCUGCAGGACUGGGAUAACAGGGGGAAACUCCUGACAAGACCGGAUAAUGUCAUGGAGCUGCACGGCUUUAUGAUGAAAGGAGACGCCUGCGGAGAGCCUUGCGUCCUAUUAGCUAGUUGGUGAGGUAAUGGCUCACCAAGGCGAAGAUAGGUAGCCGGCCUGAGAGGGUGGACGGCCACAAGGGGACUGAGAUACGGCCCUGACUCCUACGGGAGGCAGCAGGGGGGAAUAUUGGACAAUGGGGGCAACCCUGAUCCAGCAAUUCUGUGUCCACGAAGAAGGUUUUCGGAUUGUAAAGUGCCUUCAGCAGGGAAGAAGUAAGUGACGGUACCUGCAGAAGAAGCGACGGCUAAAUACGUG